rnacentral:rRNA from 1 species
UACGUAGGGUGCGAGCGUUAAUCGGAAUUACUGGGCAUAAAGCGCACGUAGGCGGUCCGCUAAGUCAUGUGUGAAAUCCCCCGGCUCAACCGGGGAAUGGCGCCUGAUACUGGCGGACUCGAGAUCGGUAGGGGUGAGUGGAACUCCAGGUGGAGCGGUGAAAUGCGUAGAUAUCUGGAGGAACACCGGUGGCGAAAGCGACUCACUGGACCGACACUGACGCUGAGGUGCGAAAGCUAGGGUAGCAAACGGG